UACGGAGGAUGCAAGCGUUAUCCGGAAUGAUUGGGCGUAAAGCGUCCGCGGGUGGCUGUGUAAGUCUGCUGUUAAAGAGUCUAGCUCAACUAGAUAAAAGUAGUGGAAACUACACGGCUAGAGUACGUUCGGGGCAGAGGGAAUUCCUGGUGUAGCGGUGAAAUGCGUAGAGAUCGGAGGAAGACACCGGUGGCGAAGGCGGGUCGCUGGGCGUGAUACUGACGUGAGGCAGCGAAAGCUGGGGAGCGAACGG
rnacentral:rRNA from 1 species